UUCAUUUUUAUUCCCCUCUUACAUUCUUCUGAUACUUGCAGUGUUAUUGUAUAGGACACAAUUAUAUGUGAUAUGAUUAUCAGAAUAUGACAACUAGCCCCACAAUCUUAUGUCACAACAUGGGGUCUGUUGGCACAACUUUCUGUAAGUGUAUAUUUGGAACUCAUUUCUAUAUCAAAAUAGCUAGCAAUAGCUUAAUUCUUUAUGGAAGUAACUGAAAACAAUUUAACUUCCUCUUACUAACCAAAACUAAAUGCACCCCUAUUUAACAUUCUGUUACUCAGACACCAGAAAUAUCAUCAGGCACUCUAACGCCGCUUGACACAAGGAGAAGGUCAUAGAGGGAGUUAAGAGCAGAACCAUGCAGCUCUCUGAAUCAGUUGCACUUUUCUAGAAAGUUUGCAAAACUUUUAUGAAAAACAUAUGACCAAAUGAACACCUAGUUUCAUCCCCAGGGCUUUAAAGGUGGUUUUUGCAAGUGGGAAAUUUGAAACUUAAACGUUGUAUAUGUCCAUAUAAAUCUACCUAUAGGCUAGCGUCUAUCUGUGGGUUAGGGAAUUUGGAAAGACUAUCCAAAAAAAGUUAACCAUGUUAUAGAAAAGGUGAAGAUAAAGCAACCAAGGUACAAACACUGGAAAUACAUUAUGAGAUGUAAAAUAACUUUAACAUUAUUCAAUAUGUUCACUCUCAUAUUGCUGAAGGGAGAAAUACGGUCUUAAAGAAAAAGUGAUUGUUCCUGAUAGAACAAUAAUUUAUUGCAAAGUACACAGUCUUACAAACACUACCCUUGCUGGAAUAUGAUUAGAUUUUUGUUCCAUGAUGUUUCAUAUUCUUUCCUACUUCAGAGCCAGUCUUGAAAUAAAAAUAAGAAAAUUACAGGUCACUUUCGGAGUCCUCUCAGUGCAUCUAUGUCAUUUCCCUGUCCCUGACCUCAUCUUAGGAUCCCAUUGCCGUUAUGAAUCCAAGUGGAUGGGAAACCAUCUUCUUGACUUUAUGUUGGCUUUAUGUAAUACUCAGUUUUGUUUGCUCUCUCUCUACUCUGUUUUAACACAAGAUUGCAAGCUGUAUUUCUUAACAAUUAUUUAUUAAUUAUACAUAAAAUACUAGAUGUUAUUAGUAAUCACAUAUGAGUAACAAAUAUUAAAGUUAGAAAUGCAGUUGAAUUAAAAAAAAUAGUUUAUGUAAAAUGCAAUAAAAAAUUGCUGUCUUAUUGGGAAAAUCAGGCCUAAAAUAAAGUUCUACACAUGAUUCCUCUGUCAUUUUAGAUGGUAUAAGUUAAUACAUGAUGGAAGUUUGCAUUUUAUCAGAAGAUGAUCAAAUAAAUGACUUGCUGCAUUUGAAAGCCUGAUACUAAACCAAUCUGCAUAGGAGAAAAAUGGGGGGAAGGAAGACUUCCUAGUGAGAGUAAAGAUAAAGAAUUCAAGCCUAUCAAUAAAGUUGAAGUUGAUUUUUUUUCUGCGGAGAUUUUCUCAUAUUCUGAGACAAUUUUUAAAAUAAUAUUUUUAAAGGAAGUAAAAUAUACAGAGCGCCUAAGAGAGCAACAGAAACCUCCCAGUCUGCUGAGGCUUUAGGAACGCCUGUCAUGAAAGGAGGUCUGGGUGACAUAGAAGUAACAGUGAUACAAUAUGAGUGCCUUUUAUUUUUGACAGUCUCUGCAUUUAUCAAUUGCAAAUGCAGUGUGUAUACAGCCAGCAAUUUGUCAGGGAGUGUUGUAGAAAUAUGUCUGACCCAGAUAAAAAGAUCUAUGUAUAGAAAAGUUUUGUGUAUCUGAGCUGCAUGCUCAGUAAUCAAACAGGGAAACGAGAAUAACAUGUUUCUAAACUCCUGGCCAUUGAGAAAAGGGCACUUCAUAUAUUGUACAAUGCAGAUACAUACUAUCUAAAGUAAUAAUAAAGAUCAGUAAAGACCUGCUCUUACUACAAUUUAGACAUCACCAGUAGAAUUCUCUUCUAAAGUUUCUACGAAGACAACACCUCCUAUCUAUCUACAUUGCAUGAUUUACAGUCAGGACUAGGGUCUAAAUCCAAGCUGAGCAAUUUACUGCCGUUAUGAUUUUAGGUAGUCAGAAUUAAGUUUUUCUUUCUUGGCACAUAAAAAAAAAAUAGUAUCAUUUAAUGAUUAGGCAUAAAAUUGCUGAGUUGUAAUAUAAGAUACAUUUUUUGCAUAAAUUCUAAAAUUCUAUAUAGUUUAUGUACACACACACACACACACACACACAUACACAUUUAUGCAUGUCGUGUCUAUCUUUUCUACUUAUCACUUUUGUAAAAGAUGUAGUUUUAAAAAUGAUACAAUGUUCAUUACCUGAAAGUAUUUCCAUAUAUAUGGUCAUGGUAGGUUUCUCUGACAGGUAUGGCACUCAAAUCUCUUAAAAGAGUGUUUUUACUUUUUUUUUUUUUUAAAGUAAUCAACCAACAUUUAUUUAUUUAUACAAACUUUAAACUUUCUAAUUUUUAUUUUUUUAAUUGUAAUUGACAACAAUUAUAUAAGUUUAUGGGCUGCAAUGUGACUUUUUUCAUUUAUUUUAGAUUCAAGGGCUACAUGUUUACAUUUGUUACAAGGGUAUAUUGUGUGAUGCUGACAUUUGGGGUACAAUUGAGCCUGUUAUCCAGGUAGUGAUUAUUUUACUCUAAAGGCAGUUUUCCAACCCUUUGCCCCUCCUUUGCUGUCCCCACCUUGAAGUCCCCAUUGUCUGUUGUUCCCAUGUUUAUGUCCAAAACGUAUGCUUUUAAAAAACAACCUCCCAUGGACUGUGUUCCCUACUCUAUGAUCAUUCAGUGUAGAUGGAUGGAGUAUCCUUCAUGGUGGUAUUUCAUUAUGCUUACAAAAAAACUAUGUUGAAAAGAUAAAAUAUAUAAAAGGAUUUUUUUUUCAUCAGGAACUUCAGUGAGAUAAGUAUUGUGCUGCAACAGCAUACGAUCAUUCAAUAUCCACAUUUAUUUUCUCCUUUCUCCCUCAUUCUAUAAUAAUGGUUCCUAAUCCAAUUUAAAGUUUGCCACCUGAUGAUAAAUUGUUAUUUCAAACCACAUUUAGCAAAGGACAGCAAAUUGCUCUUAGAAUUAUGUGAUAUUCCCUGGAAUCUGUAUCUUUUAUUCUAAGUCAUUUUCCCUUCUGCAAUUGUUAUUCUUAGAAGCAAUGUCUGCCACUACUUGCAUACAUAGAAGAGAGCAGCUAAGAGUAAACAUUGGUUGCACAUCUUUAAUAUGGGUAUUAAUAGUAAUAAAGGAAAUCCUUUCCAAAUAAAGAUUUAUCUUUGAUAUUUCAGUAGUUUGAUCCAAAGGAAGAAGAAACAGGAAAGUCUUUGAACACACUUUUCUCUACAGUUUUAAUGAUGCAUUGGGAGAGGGCGAGGCAACGAGAGACACAGAGAAGCAGGUGGGAGGGAAGUAAGGAGGGAUGAUGAGAAAAGCAGAGUAUUGAGUGCUCACUGCUGCUACCCCUCUGUCACCCCCCCAACCAUUCUUAAACACUAAUCUUUUGUAGCUUGAUGGAAAAGAAAUGAAUGCAUUUAGAGCAGAAACAAAAAAAAGCACUUGCAUCAGUUGUUCAUUGCUGUGUAAUAAAAUACCCCAAGACAUCUCUAGUCACCUUGAGAAGGGUUGAGGAUACACGGGGUCAUCAUGUUCAUUAGACGCUAUGAUUGUGAAAAUGUACCAUAGAUGAUAUACCUCCCCAAUAUACUAAUAAGUGCAGCAAAAGCAAUCGUUUUAAUUUGAGAAAACUCUUUAUUUGUAAAUAGUUCAAAAGCAUAAUAUUUUAACCAAAUAGCUAUACUAGAACUUAGCCAGUAAAUAAUCUCAAAUAGGAAAUUAGCUGUUUUUCAAUAGUGAAUCCUGUGUAAGGUAGAAAGACAUUUAUAUUGGAAGGGUUGAAAUUAUUGCCCCAAGUCCCCUAGUGUUUAAUAACUUAAGGCAUAUAUUUGGGGGGGGGUAAUUAACAACAUAUAGUGGUAGGUAUGCCUACAGUGAUACAGUAGUAAGUUUUGAUAGGUAAGAAAUUUUGUGGAAUUCUGUACAUGAUAACAUCUAUAUCAACCUUAUGAAUGUGUACUGUUUGGAGGGAUAAAAGGUAUUUAGGAGAUAAACCUGACAUGGAAUUACUGUCUACUAUUAUAAAUGUUAAAUUUUUAAAAAGUUUUCAAAAUAAGAAAGGUAUCUCUGAGAAAAAUGCAAUUAAUUCCUAUUUUAAAAUAUUAAAAUGCCUACAUUUUAAUUUCUUAAACAUAUAAUUUACUCAUUUAUUUGUGCAACACCUUUAUAUACUUGCUAAGUUUGUAUCAAUGUUACAGGCUUCAGUUAAAAAAAUGAAAUUGUAAAAAGACCCUGCCACCAUAAGAGUCAAAAUCUAGUAGAGUCAGGCAAGUAAAUUAGUAAAAUACAUCAUGUCAGAUGGUGAACGCCAAGGAGACAGCACAAGGAAGGGAGGAGGGAAACUCUUCUGGUGGAGAGACCUUGCAGUUUUAAGUUAGGUGGUACAGGAAGAUGUCACUGAGCAGAUGGUAUUUGAAUAAAGAACUAAAAAACUAAGCCUUAAUGUGCCCUGUGACAGUGAGCAUUUCAGGCAGAACCAGAAGAGUAAAUGCAAGUCAGUUACUGAGGUAGGCAUGCAUUGGCCAGGUUUGAGCUACAGCAGAGAGGCCAGUAUGCCUUGGGUUAGUGAAUGUAGGGGACCUUAGUAGCAGAUAACACGGGGAAGAGAUUAGGCAUAGAGGAAGGCAGAUUGAAUGAACGUACAAUGACUAAGCCUUUCCAAGGCUGUUGGCUGUCAUCUGAUUGAUGUGGGAAGGUUUUGAAGGGAUUUCAGCACAGGAAUGACAUAAUCUGAUUUACAAUUUAAAAGGAUUAUUCUAGUACUAUGUUGUAAGUAAAUGGUGAGUCAGAAAAGAAAGGAAGAAACAUCCAGGCCGGUUAGGAGGCUAUUAGAAUAAUCAUUUGAGAGACCAUGGUAGCCUAUGCCACAGUAAUAGCAACAAAGGUGAUGAGAAGUAAUCUGUGUUAAAUAUUUCAAAGGUUUGGAAGGAAGCACUAAUCAGAUUAUCCAAUAUCUUGGAUGUGGGCUAUAUUAGCCAACUUUAAUUUAUGUUGCAUGACAAACAACCUCAAGUCUUCCCCCAAUUGUCAGUAAUGUACAACAAUGAGCAUUGAUUUCUUGCUCCAGUUACAUAAAGCAGCUGUGGGUCUGGGUCUGCUCACCUAAAGGUCAGCCUGGAGCACUUGACUUGUGCUCAUGUUUACUGUGCAUCCUACAAUCCAGGCUGUGGGAGCAGUUUCAAUCACAGAAAUGCUGUAUUCAUUGCACAGGAGCGGUGCCACAGCCACAGUGAGCAAUCUUCUUAAAAGUCUUUUGGGGACAAGUCAUACCUGGUUACAUUCCAUUGCCCCAAGCAAAGUGGACAAGCCCAUGUGACUGGGUGGGAACAAACACUUCUCCUCUGGGAGGUCUCUCGGGUCUCUAUCUGACAGAGGAGGUAGAAAGCAUUUAGCAAGCACAGCACAAUCUUCCACAUUGUAGACAAGAGAAACCAAGGCGUUUCUCCUAACAAACUAGAAAAAUGAUGUCACUGUCCACGGAGAUGGGAAAGAACAGGUAGAAUAAGUUUAAAAGCAGACAAAAAAUUGAUGGUAAUAUGAAACUGUGAUGGGAUAUUGGAAUUAUUUUAAACAUGAUCAUAAAAAUUUAUUAUAGGAGGUAGAAAACAUAAGUUAUCCUAGGUCUGGUCAGUCAUAUAAAUGACAUGAAAUAAGGUACUAGGUCAUUUUCAUUUGAAGUGAAAUAACCACUCAAUCCAGAACAAUUAACAGGGAGUAAUGAAAAUACCUGUAUUCAUACACGUAGCCCAUUUCAAAGUCAUAUAGUUAUUAUUCACAGAUCAUCGGCUACAUUUAAGGGAUGGUGAUAUUCAAGCUGUCUUGUAUUUCACAUCUCUAAGUGUCAUAAAUAUUCCCUUUACUAUAGAAAAAGCAAAGUAAUAUACAAUCUAUACCGAAUAAUUAUCAACAUACAUAUCCCUUGUGUAGACAUAGCAUUCUGUAACCCUUGUGAAAGUCCUGUUUCACAACGAUAUAUCAUGUUUCUCACAUCACUUAAGCUGCUGGUACAUAGGUUUCUAAAGAAUUAGGGAGGGUUAAUCUGCUUUUGGCAGAGAUCAGCAAAAUUUGCAAGCAUUUUGGCCUUUCCAUCAAGACUCGUAAAAUAUUUCAGAAACUACAGGACAAAAAAAAAAAAAACAAACCCAAC